GCACAAGCGGUGGAGCAUGUGGCUUAAUUCGAUGCGACGCGAAGAACCUUACCAAGGCUUGACAUACUGGGAAAUCUCACAGAGAUGUGAGGUCCGCAGGGGUCCAGUACAGGUGGUGCAUGGCUGUCGUCAGCUCGUGUCGUGAGAUGUUGGGUUAAGUCCCGCAACGAGCGCAACCCUCGUCCUAUGUUGCCAGCGAGUAAUGUCGGGGACUCAUAGGAGACUGCCGGGGUCAACUCGGAGGAAGGUGGGGAUGACGUCAAGUCAUCAUGCCCCUUAUGUCUUGGGCUGCACACAUGCUACAAUGGCCGGUACAAAGGGCUGCGAAACCGCAAGGUAGAGCGAAUCCCAAAAAGCCGGUCUCAGUUCGGAUUGGGGUCUGCAACUCGACCCCAUGAAGUCGGAGUCGCUAGUAAUCGCAGAUCAGCAACGCUGCGGUGAAUACGUUCCCGGGC
rnacentral:rRNA from 1 species